CUUGCACCCCACAUCACGUGUGUGAAGACACUGUCUGGGAGGGUCACAGAGAGUCCAGGCUAGAGUGUGGACCUUACUCUCCAGGCCCUGGCCAGCCCCGAAGGUGCCAGGGGCAGGGGUAGCGUGAGUAGAGAUGUCCUUUAGAAAGAGGUCUCUACAGCCAGCGUGGAGAAGGAAACUGGCUGGGAGACCGUUGGACAGGCUUGCAGUGUUUCCCAGAAAUAGAGGGAUGGAGACAUGAGCCAGGGAAGAAGCAGACAUGGAGAAAAGAGAAGGAAGACAUGGUGGUGUGAGAAACCAAGGAAGCUGCCCUAUCUGUUGUGGGGAAUUAGAGAGGGAGGCAGACAUACAAAGCCAGAUGUCAUCACCUGGGAACCCAGGGGCAGGAAGUGCUUUUAAAAGCCGGUAUGGCACCUGCUUUUCUGGUGCCCGCCUCUCAGGUAAGGACUGAAGAAGCCCUGGGAACGAGCCCUUUCCCUGAGCCCAGCCGUUGUAGCAGUUUCCAGAACAUGCAUUUCCUUCUGCGAGAUGGUCUCACCCCUCCCUCCCAGCUACUGCCAUCUGCCUAUUGGGCUGCCAACUGCAGUCAGAACCGCUGGGUGGCCACCUCGUUGGGAUGGCCAUGGACCUUGACCUGGAAACAGUCAUGGGUGGAGACAGGAUGGCCUGAUAGGUGAGCAGGGAGGGUGGGGAUGGACCUAGAGAUCCCAAGCCUAUGCUGGGCCGGGGAUUUCUGUUCUCCCACACAGCUGGUGUCCACUCAAAACCCAUAAAUCCUAUUUAUCAUGCACGCAGAAUUCCAAAUUGCUGCCAGUCAUACCCGUGGCAACACACUAUGUAUAUAUCCAGAAUCGGAAAGAAGCACACCGCUGGCAACACACACACUGUGGACCACAUGGGCAAAAAUCAAACGAUUGGGCCCUCAAACACACUGCUCAGAAGUACAGCUGUUGUCGUCCAUUCACGUACUGCUGGCCAUACAGGAAACUCUUCACACAGGAGAAUGAGCCGCAGGCAUCCACGGAGGGCAGACUUUGCACCCAGCUGCUCUGACGUGAGCUCUGCUCCUACUUCCAGCCCUGCCGGGAGGAGGCAGGAGCGUCUCAGAGAACCAGGCCGAGUGUUCUAGAAGCUGGCAGUGAAAGGGUUAACAGUGCCACCUCCGCACACACCCUACCUGUGGGCUUUGGAAAACCUGAGUGCAGGGAUCUGCCCAAGGGAAGUCAGGGUCACUACCUCCCCAUCUGCCUUUUAGCUGUCCCCAGGAUAAAACUCCCCAGGUGAGUGAGAUGGAAACCCAAAAUGAAACUUUGCUCAACUUCUCUGACUCUAGCCUUGUUACUGAGUCUUGUCAGUGGCAGCAGCAGCUCCAAAUCCCCACCCUCAUCUUGGCUCUCCCAGGCCUGCGCUGCGCUCGGGGUAGUACUGCGUUCUCUUGGGCAAAGGUACCUUCCCCUCGCUGGGCCUCAGGCUCCCAGCUCUACUACUGAGGCUGUCCCGGGGACAAAAUGAGAUGCAGUACACAAGGAGCCUGGCCCAGGGCUCUGUUGUCAGGCUCUAUCACUCACCCCCCCCCCCCCCCCCGCCCCUCUCCCAUCCUAGGGUCCAGGUUAAUUGGAGUGCAUCAUUUGCAUAGACAUGAGACCUCACCCCCGGGGAAAUUCCCCCUGGUGACCAGGCUUCCUUUCUGAGGUCAGGCCACAUCAUCAGACGCAGCUCCUUCCUCUCCAGCUUGCCCCAGCCUCCCGCUGGCUUUGGCCCCUAUUAUCGGGCAGGUGGAGAUCCCGGUUCACAGAUUUAGUACCAUCGUGUGAUCUGGGGUGCUGUCCAAGAGAACGUGGUGUAGAAGGUGGGCUGGGGUUCUGGAGCGAAGUCAGAAAUGAUAGAUACUGGAGGACUAGAGGAAAGGCAACAGGCAGGAGGUAACUGAGAAGCCUAGUAAUACUAGCUCGGUCAGCAACUCCCAGCCAGACCUGAGGCACGUGCCUUCCCCUCCCUGGGCCUUAGUUUCCCUUUCUGUCCAGCCAAGGGAGUGGUCAAGAUAAUCUCUAAAUUUUGUUCCAGAUUGAAUGAGCUAAAAAACCACUUCCUUUAGCAGCAUAAUCUUGCAACAUUUGUCCUUGGAUCUUCUUCUUUUGACAAGAACCUUGCGACAUACCGCCCUGAAUCCAUUUCCUUUCCUUUCCUUGGAAAACACAAUUUUGCAAAAUGCAUUCCUGAAUCCCAUUUUCUUCAGAUGCUGACAGAAUUACAUGCACCUCCUCUCCUCGUAGUGACUUGGAUUGAGGGUGAAUUUUUCCUUUCAUAUCCACUAUGUAUAAUGUCCUGUGACCCACUAAACAUGGAAUAGAGCUCUCUUCUCUCCGGAUUCUAAGAUCUGUUGUCCUCUUGGUCUCUGGUGCUGGUACAGAGAAGGCACUUUCCCUAGAACAAAAAGGGGAACAGUGAGGUUCUGGGACCACCUGCAUCAGAACCAACUGUUAGAAAGGCAGCCUAGAGAGCAAGAGUCACAACUUGGAAUCACCUGGGGAGCUUUUAAAUGCCAAUCCCAGGCCAUACCCCCUACCCCCCAAGAUCCUGAUGUAACUAGUCUGGGGUGGGGCCUGAGCAUCUGUAUUUUUACAAAGCUCCUCAGGUAAUUGUAACACACAGUCAGGAUUGAGAACCACUGAUCUCAGGCUCCAGCCCAGACUAACCUGAUUAGAUGAUUCUGGCAGACACUCAGAUUGAUGACCCCCUGACCUAUGAUAUUCUUUAUGAAAUAAUCUCAACGGGCACUUCUACGCACACAGGUAUUCCCGGGAUUAUAGAUGGGCAAAGAGAAUCGACCCCCUUUCGCAGAUGAGGAAGGUGAGGGACAGAGAGAGGAAUUGCUGCCCAUGUCACACAGAGAGGUAGCAAGAGUAGUGGGCCUGGCCCCUAGUGGAAGAAGACUCAAAGCAUUUUUACAAAGUCAUGGAUUUGGUGCAUGGGUGACCCAGAGAAGUACUAGUACACUAGGUACCCCCCACUGGUCCAUGACAGUGAGUUCUUGGCUGCCUUUAGACGAGCAGAUCAUGCUCACUAUGGAGUUGGAAGACCCAGUCAGGGAGCUUGGGCCUCUCAAACUACUAAGUACUAAGAUAACCCCUGGGAGCUUACUAAAAAUGCUGCCUCUAGGGCCCUACUCCACCCCCCAUGCCCCCCCCAAAGUGUGAUUUCUUGGGUCUAUGGUGGGAUCCAGAAAUCUGCCCAGAGUCCUAGACUAGGUCUCCGUGGCAUGAACAAUUCCCAUCCUUGGGGGGCAUUCAACAGAUUUGGUGAAUCAGGAAACCCAUGGAGUCAAAUCCAUUCAUUUGCUAAAUAAAUAUUGAUUGACUAUGAUGAGACUGGGCCA
rnacentral:lncRNA from 1 species